AGUGAACGCUGGCGGUAGGCCUAACACAUGCAAGUCGAACGGCAGCACAGUAAGAGCUUGCUCUUACGGGUGGCGAGUGGCGGACGGGUGAGGAAUACAUCGGAAUCUACUUUUUCGUGGGGGAUAACGUAGGGAAACUUACGCUAAUACCGCAUACGACCUACGGGUGAGAGCAGGGGAUCUUCGGACCUUGCGCGAUUGAAUGAGCCGAUGUCGGAUUAGCUAGUUGGCGGGGUAAAGGCCCACCAAGGCGACGAUCCGUAGCUGGUCUGAGAGGAUGAUCAGCCACACUGGAACUGAGACACGGUCCAGACUCCUACGGGAGGCAGCAGUGGGGAAUACUGGACAAUGGGCGCAAGCCUGAUCCAGCCAUACCGCGUGGGUGAAGAAGGCCUUCGGGUUGUAAAGCCCUUUUGUUGGGAAAGAAAAGCAGCAGGUUAAUACCCCGCUGUUCUGACGGUACCCAAAGAAUAAGCACCGGCUAACUUCG
rnacentral:rRNA from 1 species